rnacentral:rRNA from 1 species
AUGGGGUGGUCCACAGGGUUCAUAACUACCCCUCUUACUACGGGGAGUUUACCUAGCCAACACUUAGAUCCGGCUCUACCCAAACUUUUUUGGUUCACCCCAACAUUACCCACUUGUUCGACUGUUUCUAAGCAGUUUUGGGAUACUAAACUUACCUCCCCAGAUGGUUAUCCUAAAGUGUUCGAUUUACCCUCUUUUGCAAUUAGUUUCGGUACAGCACCUGCUGCUCUAGCUAAUUGCCCACCCCUUCCACGUGUGAUUUCUAUGUUAUGCAUGGCCGUGCCUAAGGGCACCGCACUCAAAGGUAUGGCAUUUCCCAUUGAUAUAGGAACUUUUGUACCAGAAACAAUAGUAUCUCUAAUUAUAGCCCCUCUGGGAUGUAAAAUAUAUCUCUUCUCACCAUCCUCAUAG